UCUGUGGAGUGGGGUGCCUGU
rnacentral:miRNA from 1 species